rnacentral:rRNA from 1 species
UACGGAGGAUGCAAGCGUUAUCCGGAUUUAUUGGGCGUAAAGCGUCCGCAGGUGGUUUUCCACGUCUGCUGUUAAAGCGCGAGGCUUAACCUCGUACAGGCAGUGGAAACUGGAUGACUAGAGUAUGGUAGGGGUAGCGGGAAUUCCCAGUGUAGCGGUGAAAUGCGUAGAUAUUGGGAAGAACACCAGCGGCGAAAGCGCGCUACUGGGCCAUUACUGACACUCAUGGACGAAAGCUAGGGGAGCGAAAGGG